GACGAACGCUGGCGGCGUGCUUAACACAUGCAAGUCGAACGGAAAGGCCCUGCUCUUGUGGGGUGCUCGAGUGGCGAACGGGUGUGUAACACGUGUGUAACCUGCCUUUGACUUUGGGAUAACUUCAGGAAACUGGGGCUAAUACCGUAUAGGAGCUCCUGCUGCAUGGUGGGGGUUGGAAAGUCUCGGCGGUUGGGGAUGGACUCGCGGCUUAUCAGCUUGUUGGUGGGGUAGUGGCUUACCAAGGUUUGGACGGGUAGCCGGCCUGAGAGGGUGACCGGCCACAUUGGGACUGAGAUCCGCCCCAGACUCCUACGGGAGGCAGCAGUGGGGAAUAUUGCACAAUGGGCGGAAGCCUGAUGCAGCAACGCCGCGUGCGGGAUGACGGCCUUCGGGUUGUAAACCGCUUUCGCCUGUGACGAAGCGUGAGUGACGGUAAUGGGUAAAGAAGCACCGGCUAACUACGUG
rnacentral:rRNA from 1 species